rnacentral:rRNA from 1 species
GAUGAACGCUGGCGGCGUGCUUAACACAUGCAAGUCGAACGGUGAAGGCGGAGCUUGCUCUGCUGAAUCAGUGGCGAACGGGUGAGUAACACGUGAGCAAUCUGCCCCUGACUCUGGGAUAAGCGCUGGAAACGGCGUCUAAUACUGGAUACGAGCUGCGAAGGCAUCUUCAGCAGCUGGAAAGAACUUCGGUCAGGGAUGAGCUCGCGGCCUAUCAGCUUGUUGGUGAGGUAACGGCUCACCAAGGCGUCGACGGGUAGCCGGCCUGAGAGGGUGACCGGCCACACUGGGACUGAGACACGGCCCAGACUCCUACGGGAGGCAGCAGUGGGGAAUAUUGCACAAUGGGCGAAAGCCUGAUGCAGCAACGCCGCGUGAGGGACGACGGCCUUCGGGUUGUAAACCUCUUUUAGCAGGGAAGAAGCGAAAGUGACGGUACCUGCAGAAAAAGCGCCGGCUAACUACGUG